CGAGUAGGUGGUUUGUUAAGCGUGUGGUGAAAGCCCGGGGCUCAACCCCGGGUCUGCCGUGCGGACUGGCAAACUCGAGCAGAGUAGAGGCGAGUGGAAUUCCGGGUGUAGCGGUGGAAUGCGUAGAUAUCCGGAAGAACACCGGUGGCGAAGGCGGCUCGCUGGGCUCUUGCUGACACUGAAUCGCGACAGCGUGGGGAGCAAACA
rnacentral:rRNA from 1 species